CCCUGCCCUUUGUACACACCGCCCGUCGCUCCUACCGAUUGAAUGGUCCGGUGAAGUGUUAGGAUCGCGGCGACGUGGGCGGUUCGCUGCCUGCGACGUCGCGAGAAUUCCACUGAACCUUAUCAUUU
rnacentral:rRNA from 1 species